UAUUAAAAAUUUUAUCCAUUUCUAUUGUUAAAAAUUGGCAUGGUUGAUGGAAUAACCACAUAGUGUCACAUGUACCUCAUGCUGAGGUACAAGGAUAAGUUUUUAACAGUAAAAAUGAAUGAGUAAAG
rfam:Gossypium raimondii Chr06_contig_73, whole genome shotgun sequence.